rnacentral:rRNA from 1 species
GACGAACGCUGGCGGCGUGCUUAACACAUGCCAGUCGAACGGAAAGGCCCUGCUUUUGUGGGGUGCUCGAGUGGCGAACGGGUGAGUAACACGUGAGUAACCUGCCCUUGACUUUGGGAUAACUUCAGGAAACUGGGGCUAAUACCGGAUAGGAGCUCCUGCUGCAUGGUGGGGGUUGGAAAGUUUCGGCGGUUGGGGAUGGACUCGCGGCUUAUCAGCUUGUUGGUGGGGUAGUGGCUUACCAAGGCUUUGACGGGUAGCCGGCCUGAGAGGGUGACCGGCCACAUUGGGACUGAGAUACGGCCCAGACUACUACGGGAGGCAGCAGUGGGGAAUAUUGCACAAUGGGCGGAAGCCUGAUGCAGAAACGCCGCGUGCGGGAUGACGGCCUUCGGGUUGUAAACCGCUUUCGCCUGUGACGAAGCGUGAGUGACGGUAAUGGGUAAAGAAGCACCGGCUAACUACGUG